UCAAAUUCCAAAAUCUUGAUUGUGACGUGGAUUGGAACGACAAAGCACUUAUCAACCAAUUUUGAUAUGAAUUGAAGAAUAGUAUCAAAAAUUUAUUAUUAACAAUGUCGAAAGUAGAAUCUUUGAAACAAUUUAUUACUCAAGCCAUUACAUGUGACAAUUAUUUAUUUGAAAGGCAUUAAAGAUAAAGAUUUGAUUGGAGAGGAACAAGUGAAGUAAUGAAAACUCUCAGUUUUCUGAAACAUAUUUGUCAAAUCCAAAACCAAUGCAAAUUGAUAUGAUACAUUUUAAACCUCUCACGAAGCAAAAAAAGAUUUGACGUUACUAAGAGGGGUUGUGUUUAUAUUACGGAGAAGCUAAGCACACUACUCAAUAUUGUCCAAAGAAACAACGUAAUUACAAAAUGAAGAGUAUAAUUACCAAAGAAGAUAAUGUGUUAGAAA
rnacentral:lncRNA from 1 species